rnacentral:rRNA from 1 species
UGGGGAAUAUUGCACAAUGGGCGCAAGCCUGAUGCAGCGACGCCGCGUGAGUGAAGAAGUAUUUCGGUAUGUAAAGCUCUAUCAGCAGGGAAGAAAAUGACGGUACCUGACUAAGAAGCCCCGGCUAACUACGUGCC